rnacentral:rRNA from 1 species
UACGUAGGGUGCGAGCGUUGUCCGGAAUUAUUGGGCGUAAAGAGCUUGUAGGCGGUUUGUCGCGUCUGCCGUGAAAGCCCAGGGCUUAACCCUGGGUCUGCGGUGGGUACGGGCAGACUAGAGUUCGGUAGGGGAGACUGGAAUUCCUGGUGUAGCGGUGAAAUGCGCAGAUAUCAGGAGGAACACCGGUGGCGAAGGCGGGUCUCUGGGCCGAUACUGACGCUGAGGAGCGAAAGCGUGGGGAGCAAACAGG